rnacentral:rRNA from 1 species
AGUGAACGCUGGCGGUAGGCCUAACACAUGCAAGUCGAACGGCAGCACAGUAAGAGCUUGCUCUUACGGGUGGCGAGUGGCGGACGGGUGAGGAAUACAUCGGAAUCUACUUUUUCGUGGGGGAUAACGUAGGGAAACUUACGCUAAUACCGCAUACGAUCUACGGGUGAAAGCAGGGGAUCUUCGGACCUUGCGUGAUUGAAUGAGCCGAUGUCGGAUUAGCUAGUUGGCGGGGUAAAGGCACACCAAGGCGACGAUCCGUAGCUGGUCUGAGAGGAUGAUCAGCCACACUGGAACUGAGACACGGUCCAGACUCCUACGGGAGGCAGCAGUGGGGAAUAUUGGACAAUGGGCGCAAGCCUGAUCCAGCCAUACCGCGUGAGUGAAGAAGGCCUUCGGGUUGUAAAGCCCUGUUGUUGGGAAAGAAAAAAUGCAGGUGAAUACCCCGCUGUUCUGACGGUACCCAAAGAAUAAGCACCGGCUAACUUCGUG